CGCUGGCGGCACGCCUAACACAUGCAAGUCGAACGCAGUAGCAAUACUGAGUGGCGAACGGGUGAGUAUAAUAUGGGUAUCUGCCUUUUGGUUUGGAAUAACACGAGGAAACUUGUGCUAAUACCGGAUAAGCCUUUACAGGGAAAGUUUUAACGCCGAAAGAUGAGCCCAUACUUGAUUAGCUAGUUGGUAAGGUAAUAGCUUACCAAGGCUACGAUCAAUAGCUGAUCUGAGAGGAUGAUCAGCCACAUUGGGACUGAGACACGGCCCAGACUCCUACGGGAGGCAGCAGUGGGGAAUCUUGCACAAUGGGGGAAACCCUGAUGCAGCGAUGCCGCGUGAGUGAAGAAGGCCCUUGGGUUGUAAAGCUCUUUCGUCGGGGAAGAAAAUGACUGUACCCGAAUAAGAAGGUCCGGCUAACUUCGUGCCAGCAGCCGCGGUAAUACGAAGGGACCUAGCGUAGUUCGGAAUUACUGGGCUUAAAGAGCUCGUAGGUGGUUAAGAAAGUUGGUGGUGAAAGCCCAAGGCUCAACCUUGGAACUGCCACCAAAACUUUUUGACUAGAGUAUGAUAGAGGUAAGUGGAAUUUCUAGUGUAGAGGUGAAAUUCGUAGAUAUUAGAAAGAACACCAAUUGCGAAGGCAACUUUCUGGAUCAUUACUGACACUGAGGAGCGAAAGCAUGGGUAGCGAAGAGGAUUAGAUACCCUCGUAGUCCAUGCUGUAAACGAUGUGUGCUAGACGUUGGAAAUUUAUUUUCAGUGUCGCAGCAAAAGCGUUAAGCACACCGCCUGGGGAGUACGACCGC
rnacentral:rRNA from 1 species